GGUUCGAUUAUGGCUCAGAUUGAACGCUGGCGGGAUGCUUUACACAUGCAAGUCAGACGGCGGCACGGACUUCGGUCUGGUGGCGAGUGGCGAACGGGUGGUGAGACGUGCCUAGUAGCGGGGGAUAACUACGCGAAAGCGUAGCUAGCCUAUACGCCCUUCAGGGGAAAGCGGGGGACCUUCGGGCCUCGCACUAUUAGAGCGGCCGAUAUCGGAUUAGCUAGUUGGUGGGGUAACGGCUCACCAAGGCGACGAUCCGUAGCUGGUUUGAGAGGACGACCAACCACACUGGGACUGAGACACGGCCCAGACUCCUACGAAGGGCAGCAGUGGGGAAUUUUGGACAAUGGGAAACCCUGAUCCAGCCAUCCCGCGUGUGCGAUGAAGGCCUUCGGGUUAAAGCACUUUUUGGCAGGAAAACGCUGGAUAAUACAUGCAACUGACAGUACUGCAGAAUAAACUCCGGCUAACUACAUUGCAACAGCCACGGUAAUACGUAGGGUGCAAGCGUUAAUCGGAAUUACUGGGCGUAAAGCGUGCGCAGGCGGUUCGGAAGAAGAUGUGAAAUCCCAGAGCUUAACUUUGGAACUGCAUUUUUAACUACCGAGCUAGGUGUGUCAGAGGGAGGUGGAAUUCCACUUGUCAUAGCAGUAAAAUGCGUAGAUAUGCCGGAGGAACACCGAUGGUGAAGGCAACCUCCUGGGAUAACACUGACGCUCAUGCACGAAAGCGUGGGGAGCAAACAGGAUUAGAUACCCUGGUAGUCCACGCCCUAAACGAUGUCAACUAGCUUCUUCGGGGCCUUCCGGGCCUUGGUAGCGCAGCUAACGCGUGAAGUUGACCGCCUGGGAAGUACGGUCGCAAGAUUAAAACUCAAGGAAUUGACGGGGACCACAAGCGGUGGAUGAUGUGGAUUAAUUCGAUGCAACGCGAAAAACCUUACCUACCCUUGACAUGUCUGGAAUCCCGAAGAGAUUUAGGUGCUCGCAAGAGAACCGGAACACAGGUGCUGCAUGGCUGUCGUCAGCUCGUGUCGUGAGAUGUUGGGUUAAGUCCCGCAACGAGCGCAACCCUUGUCGUGCUUGCUGAAAAGGGCACUCUAAUGAGACUGCCGGUGACAAACCGGAGGAAGGUGGGGAUGACGUCAGGUCCUCGCCAUGGCCAUAUGGGUAGGGCUUCACACGUCAUAUGCCGAUAGAUCUGGACGAAGGUCGCCAGCCCGCGAAGGGGAGCCAAUCAAACCCGAUCGUAGUCCGGAUGCCAGUCCCAACUCAGACUACGUAGUGGAAUCAACUAAUAAUCGCAGAUCAGCAUGUCGCGGUGAAUACGUUCCCAGGUCUUACCCUUAGGAAGUCGUCCACACCGGGGAGUGGGUUUUACCAGAAGUGAUUAGCCUAUGCAUCUAAGGAGGGGCGGUCACCACCGUGGAUUCACUUGCGUGGGGUGAAGUGUAACAAGGUAGCCCUGUUUUCACCUGGUGCUCCA
rnacentral:rRNA from 1 species